CAAGCUUCUCGGCCUCUGGGCUAAGAUCAAGUGUAGUAUCUGUUCUUAUCAGUUUUAUGCCGGUGGCAGGUGACGCCGGUGUGGUGCUGGUGGGGAUGGGUGCUGCAUGGAGGGGGCAGGUGUACCGGGGCGUUCUGGGACUGGUUCUGAGGAAUCAGCUCGACGGCUGCCCCGAUGUGACCUGUU